AUUGAACGCUGGCGGCAUGCCUAACACAUGCAAGUCGAACGGUAACAGGCCCUUCGGGCGCUGACGAGUGGCGGACGGGUGAGUAAUGCUUAGGAAUCUGCCUAGUAGUGGGGGAUAACCCGGGGAAACUCGGGCUAAUACCGCAUACGUCCUACGGGAGAAAGCGGGGGACCUUCGGGCCUCGCGCUAUUAGAUGAGCCUAAGUCCGAUUAGCUAGUUGGUAGGGUAAUAGCCUACCAAGGCGACGAUCGGUAGCUGGUCUGAGAGGACGACCAGCCACACUGGGACUGAGACACGGCCCAGACUCCUACGGGAGGCAGCAGUGGGGAAUAUUGGACAAUGGGCGCAAGCCUGAUCCAGCGAUGCCGCGUGUGUGAAGAAGGCCUGCGGGUUGUAAAGCAC
rnacentral:rRNA from 1 species